rnacentral:rRNA from 1 species
CACGUAGGGUGCGAGCGUUGUCCGGAAUUAUUGGGCGUAAAGAGCUCGUAGGCGGUGUGUCGCGUCGGCCGUGAAAACCUGCAGCUUAACUGUGGGCUUGCGGUCGAUACGGGCAUCACUGGAGUUCGGCAGGGGAGACUGGAAUUCCUGGUGUAGCGGUGAGAUGCGCAGAUAUCAGGAGGAACACCGAUGGCGAAGGCAGGUCUCUGGGCCACUACUGACGCUGAGAAGCGAAAGCAUGGGGAGCGAACAGG